rnacentral:rRNA from 1 species
UACCAGCUCUCCGAGUGGUGUGGAUGUUUAUUGGGCCUAAAGCAUCCGUAGCUGGCUGGGCAAGUCCCCUGUUAAAUCCACAGAUUUAAUCGUUGGAGUGCGGGGGAUACUGCUCGGCUAGGGGACGGGAGAGGCAGACGGUAUUUUCGGGGUAGGGGUGAAAUCCUAUAAUCCCGAGAAGACCACCAGUGGCGAAGGCUGUCUGCUAGAACGUGCCCGACGGUGAGGGAUGAAAGCUGGGGGAGCGAACCGGAUUAGAUACCCGGGUAGUCCCAGCUGUAAACGAUGCAGGCUAGGUGUUUGGACGGCCACGUGCCGUUCUAGUGCCGCAGGGAAGCCGUUAAGCCUGCCGCCUGGGGAGUACGGCCGCAAGGCUGAAACUUAAGGAUUGGCGGGGAGCACCACAAGGGGUAAAGCUUGCGGUUU